rnacentral:rRNA from 1 species
AGAGUUUGAUCCUGGCUCAGAAUCAACGCUGGCGGCGCGCUUAACGCAUGCAAGUCGAGCGAGAAAGGGGAGCAAUCCCUGAGUAAAGCGGCGUACGGGUGAGUAACACGUGGGUCAUAUACCUCUUAGUGGGGAAUAACCCUGGGAAACCGGGGCUAAUACCGCAUGAGCCUGAAAAGGGAAAGCAGCAAUGCGCUGAGAGAGUAGCCCGCGGCCGAUUAGCUAGUUGGUGAGGUAAUGGCCCACCAAGGCGACGAUCGGUAGCCGGCCUGAGAGGGCACACGGCCACACUGGCACUGAAACACGGGCCAGACUCCUACGGGAGGCAGCAGUGGGGAAUCUUGCACAAUGGGGGAAACCCUGAUGCAGCGACGCCGCGUGAGCGAUGAAGCCCCUCGGGGUGUAAAGCUCU